rnacentral:lncRNA from 1 species
GCAGUUUGAUCUCAGACUGCUGUGCUAGCAAUCAGCGAGACUCCCUGGGCGUAGGACCCUCCGAGCCAGGUGUGGGAAAUAAUCUCCUGGUGCACCGUUUCCUAAGCCCGUCGGAAAAGCGCAGUAUUUGGGUGGGAGUGGCCCGAUUUUCCAGGUGCCCUCCUUUCCUUGACCAGGAAAGGGAACUCCCUGACCCCUUACGCUUCCCAAGUGAGGCAAUGCCUCGCCCUGCUUCGGCUGGCGCACGGUGCCCUGCACCCACUGUCUGGCACUCCCUAGUGAGAUGAACCCGGUACCUCAGAUGGAAAUGCAGAAAUCACCCAUCUUCUGCGUGGCUCAUGCUGGGAGCUGUAGACCAGAGCUGUUCCUAUUCAGCCAUCUUGGCUCCCGGAUCCAGUUUAACUUUUGCAGAGAGACAAGAUCUCUCUCCAUUGCCAACACUGGUCUCAAACUCCUGGCCUCAAGCAAUCAUCCAACCUCAGCCUUCUGAGUACCGGGAUUACAAGUGCGAGCCACUGUGCCCAGCUCCUGUUUCUACUUUCUUAAGUGAACCUGAGGAAUACCACAAAUGUGAGCAUGGCUGGAUCUUUUGAAUUAAAAUCCACACUGGGAAAGAAAUAGACCUUGAACAUCUUGCCAAAGGCAAACCACUUCAAUAGAACAUGGCUGGCGGCCAUAUGGACAUAUUUGAAUCCAACAAUUAAUUCAGCAAAGAAAGCUGCUUGUGGCAAGUUUUGAAUGUGCCAUUCCAGGUAGUGCUUUGAUGAUAAAUGAGGAGAAGAUUGCAAAGAAAAUGACAGCAACAUUUAUAAAAGGAAAACUGAGGCAUAGAACAUUUGGGAAUGAAUCUAAGACUACACAUCUAGAAUAGCAGAGGAAGGCAAUGUAUCGCAUCCUGUAUUACCUUCCCCUGACCUCAUAGCUUCCCAAAACAGGAACAAUCAUGGGCUUUGAAGUUACAGGAAUGCAGAUGUGAUUCCUAUGGAUGAGGGUAACCUAGAGGCUAGAAGAACAAUAGGACAGAAGAAGCCUGGGUCCCUGAACAACCUUGUGGAGCAUAGACACCUACGUGGCCUGGACUGCCAGCUCACAAUGGGCCUCUCUGUGAGAGAAGGAAACUUCCCUCUUGUUUAAGCAACUGUGCUUUUGAGAAUCUCUUGGUCUAUACCCUAAUGAAUAAGGCCAUCAUAAAUGGAUAUCAAAGUAAGGAAAUUUGUGUAAAUGAUUUAAUAAAACAUUACCUCAGGUAUGAAAUAAUUCUACCUUGUGCCUUGACAACAUCAGGUAUUAUUCAUGCCCUUUUCUCUCCCUGUAAUGUCUCUUAUCCACGGGUAGAAAUUAUAUUUUCCAUCUAAGGUUUGCUCAAAUAUUAUCUACUUAAGUAGCUCUUACCAAUUUUGCCUCUCCUCCUGAGCUGACCCUAUGCCUUCUAUGCUGUUCCAGGUAAUAUUAAUCUCUUCCUUUGUACUUCUUUCACAGAACAUACUUUUUUGUCUAACAUAAUAACUAUAGGCAUAAGUGUAUAGAUUCCACUAGGGGCUUCAGAACAGAAACUAUCAUCUUAUUAAUUUUUUUCUCCCUGAUAUCUAGGGAAAUAUGUUAUAUAUAAUAGGCCCUUAGUAAUCCCAUAAAUGUUUGUGAGAUAUUCACUGACUAUAAGCCAUACUCUGUAUUUAUUUAGCUAAAACAGACGUCUUUCAUAUUUAGUUAGCAGAAAAUGCUCACAUUUACUCCUUUCCUGUUUACCAAAUGAAAGGGUAAUUGUUUUUUCACAGAUUGCACUAGAAAAGUGUCUUCUCUCUCUUUUUCAAAUAGAUUGUCUUUAAAACAUAUGACAGGAAAAGUGACUAUUGUUAGGAUAAGAUAAUUACGAUUGUAACAGCUAGUUUAAAAGAAGUGUCAGUUGCUCCUGUUUUAUUUUUCACAGGAUAGAGCUGCGGCCUGUCUCAGUAUGAUGUUUUCAGGAUCUGGUAUAUAUUUUUAUUUUCCUACAUGAAUCUUUCAUCCUUUUACUGACAUUUAUUCAUUUUAUCUAAUUAUCCUAAAAGGAAAGCUCUGGCCAGGCAAAUUGGUUGUUGUCUGCCUCUGAAGAGACAUUCAUAUCGCGUCGCUUAGCUUUCAAGUUUUGUGAUCAGGAACCCUCAGGCCCAUUUUUAAGGAGGUUUCAGGCUAGCUGAGCUUCACUGUCUCCCAAAAUGUACAAAAUGAGAUUACAUGAGGGACAAGAUCAAUUUACUGGAAGGUACUUAAGCAGUAAAUCUGGAGCUUUUUGUCCAGUCACUAUUGCUUUCAAGCUUUGUAGCAGAAAAUUAAGCCACAAGAGCUUUGACAAAUUAGAUAUUACUACCUCUAAUUGUGUAUGUUUAAGCUUAUCACACUGAAUUGCAGCAUUGUAACUGACUAUUAUGCCAACAAGGCCUUCGUUUAAUCAGCGCAGUGCCAUUUAAUCGCAAUUAAUCACUCAACUAAAAUGUCAUAUUAAGGUCACAGAAACUUGAAGGGCUAAAAGAAAAGAGAACAUUAAAGUCAGCUGAUGGAGGAAAAGAGCAUGGUGUGCCAAGGGAAGUUCUGAGCACUCUUUUUCAUUAGAAGCUGGUAGAACAUUUAAUGAGAAUUCAGUCUUAACUUUCAGCUGAGAUCAGAACAACGUGCC